UCUUAUCUUUGUCAUCUUCUGCCC
rnacentral:siRNA from 1 species